UAGAGUAUAGCUUAACCAAAGCACUUCGCUUACACCGAACCAACGCCCGUUAAACCCGGGCUACUCUUAAG
rnacentral:tRNA from 1 species